GGCGGAGUAGCUCAGUCGGUUAGAGCAGCGGAAUCAUAAUCCGCGUGUCGGGGGUUCGAAUCCCUCCUCCGCUACCA
rnacentral:tRNA from 1 species